AUUGAACGCUGGCGGCAGGCCUAACACAUGCAAGUCGAACGGUAGCACGGGAGAGCUUGCUCUCUGGGUGACGAGUGGCGGACGGGUGAGUAAUGCAUGGGGAGCUGCCCAAUCGAGGGGGAUACCAGCUGGAAACGGCUGCUAAUACCGCAUACGCCCUGAGGGGGAAAGGUGGGGACCUUCGGGCCUACCGCGAUUGGAUGCACCCAUGUGGGAUUAGCUAGUUGGUGAGGUAACGGCUCACCAAGGCGACGAUCUCUAGCUGGUCUGAGAGGAUGACCAGCCACACUGGAACUGAGACACGGUCCAGACUCCUACGGGAGGCAGCAGUGGGGAAUAUUGCACAAUGGGGGAAACCCUGAUGCAGCCAUGCCGCGUGUGUGAAGAAGGCCUGG
rnacentral:rRNA from 1 species